rnacentral:rRNA from 1 species
UUGAAAGGGAAACGAUUGAAGUCAGUCGUACCUGCGGGUAAUCAGCCUUUUGGGUGUGAUUAUGUGGAGCGUGAGGAGCUAAUCGCCUUCAUCUUUGCAUAUUCGUGCACUUUGGGUGUACUUGCUCGUGUGGUAGGUUAACAUCAAUUUUGAUCGUCAUAAAAUGACUAGAGGAAUGUAGCUUCGAUCUCGUAUUGAAGUGUUAUAGCCUUUGGUAGAUGUGAUGAUUAGGAUUGAGGAUUGCAACGGAUACCCUUCGGGCUACCUGUCUGAUCUCUGAUCGUUGCUCUGGUGCCGAAAGCGUGCUUACGGUUAUCAAAGUCGAUGGUCAAUAGGUUAGAACGGGAUAAAUUCGUUAAGGAUGUUGACGUA